rnacentral:lncRNA from 1 species
GCUGUUUGCUGUGCAUUUUUCUUUUCUGAGACAUGAUUGUUUUCCUGCUCUGGAAUUUAGCUGCUUCAGAGACAUGAUGUUACACAGUAAAGUGUGUUCCCCUUGCCUUCUGGCAUACUGGAUACUACUGAAAAGAACUGAGCUCUGUCGUCUUUACUCUGCAGCCUACUCCAACAGGAGAAGCUGCUGGUGAAGCAACUCCAUAGCUCCUUGUGGCUCUCCCACAUCCUCUUUGCAGAAGGUUCUGAGCACACGGAGGCUUCUGCUGAUAAACG